AAUUCGGCUUUGCAGUGGCCAAAUAUAACUCGCACUAGUUUUACAUCGUCGUGAACCGUGGUUUAGAAUCGUUCCUCAGUUGAGUCUACGGCGAUCCGCGAGCUACACAAGAUCACAAUGGCAGACCUGAAGGACGUUGAAGUCGAAAAGGCGAAGUUCGUGUUCUCCGUCUACGAUUGGGAUGGCAGCGGUUCUAUGGAUGCCAUGGACAUCGGACCGGCUCUGCGUGCCCUGAACCUGAACCCAACUCUGGAACUCAUCGGCAAGAUGGGUGGAACCAAGAAGCGCGGAGAGAAGAAGGUCAAGCUGGACGAGUUCCUCCCCAUCUACGCUCAGGUCAAGAAGGAGAAGGACAUGGGUUGCUACGAGGACUUCCUCGAGUGUCUGAAGUUGUACGACAAAGAGGAGAACGGCACCAUGCUGCUGGCUGAGCUGGAGCAUAGCUUACUCGCUCUGGGUGAGAAGCUCGACCGUGAUGAGCUCGACGAUGUCUUCAAGGAUUGCAUGGACCCCGAGGAUGAUGACGGCAACAUCCCAUAUGCCCCCUUCCUGAAGAAAAUGAUGGACAACAUGAUCGUCAUCAACCACUAAACGUUACAUCCAACACCUUUCAAUAACUUAAUUUACCAACAAGUAAUAUGUAAGAGUAUUCCAUUUCUUCAGAGAUUGUGUGACCAUAAACCAUAAGCAUAUUAGACCAAGCUUCUGCAGUUGAUUCUGAUUGCAGAGAAUGUAUGAUGGUUAUAUGAUUUCUUAACAACAAACAAAGAACCACCACCAAACGUCCAGGGAAAUAUACUAUCUGAACGAUUAACAACAUCGACGAAGUAAGAAAGAAAACAAACAUCUGCGUUUUAUCAACAUCAGCACGUUAACAAAUUAAACUUUGAUAAUUUAUAAUGACAUCUAGUAUGGGAGCGGUUAUUAUUAAUUUCUUUUUUAAGUUUUUAAUAAAAGUAUAUGUAUAAAGAGAUUAUAAAAAAUCCCUGGACUA